ACUGUUGAGGGAACUGUGCCUUCCAGAAACGGAACUCUUACUGGGCUAGACUGGGGUGCAGCUGUCUAAAGCCACACACACACACACACACACACACACACACACACACACACACACGGUCUUGGCUUUGCAGAGCUUUUGGAGCAUCCAGUCUGCAUGUGCUUUGCAUGAAGCGAAGACCAAACAAGAUGCAGCCUGAUUCGGGAGGUGGCUGGGGAUGGAAGGAUGGCGUUGUCUCAUUGCUGAUCUGCCUUUUUGCUCACGUGCAACUUCCCCAGAACCGGGCAGGAGGUUUCUGAACCUCAUUCUUCACUUUCCAAACCUCAUUCUGAAACCAGCCCUUUCUGAGCUGUCCGCCCCCGCCCAGGGGAAGAGAGGUCUUCUAAUUUUAAGUUCAACGAUCAAGGGAAAUGGGUGAGUUUUGGAACCCAGAGGGAAGGUUUUGAUAUGCUGUCUCAUCAAAAGGUUAAAAUGCACACACACACGCACACGCGGUCAAGGAAAAAAUUUUUUAACAAUAUUAAAGGGAAAAUAGUGAGAAGUAAAGGUCUCUCCCACCUAGAUACCAUAGACCUGCUAUUCGCAGCAAUCUGCCAAAGCACAGGCGCUUACACACACCUGUGUGUCACUCUUGAUGUGUGUCCCCUGGUUUCCCCCAUGCUGUCCCCAACCUGCACCUUUUAAAAAUAUAUACACGAUGGCUCAUUUCCGAGGACGGGACACGCUGCUUUGCCCGGGACUUGUCCAUUUACCCUCCUGCCCGUCAGACCUGGUGUUAUUUCUAGUGAGCCCUCAGGAUGCUCUUUAGGAGGACCGGCAGGGAGACUGUAGGGAGUGCUGACUGUGUUCGGGGCCCGGGCCUAAAUGCUUUUAUACCUAUUUAACACAUGUUGUAUCUUCCUGUCUCAUUGCAGGGCUGGAGUUGCUUAAGUGGGAUUGCCGAAUCCAUGGGGUACGUUUGUCUUGCCGAUCGGGGUCACCUCACAGGGUGACAUGGUCCCCACGUCACACUUGGACAUCUGUGGUAUUUUCACCUUGAAGGCCCAUGACAGGCUAGACCUUGUGGACUCUGUGUGCUCCCUCGCGUCUGCCAGGCCCCCUGCAGAUCCCCCUUCCAUUGAGACCAUGCUGGGGCCACCUCUGAGACAGUCCCGAGGUAAGACAAAAGCAAAAGUGUCCCCAAAUGGGGCAUUUCUUAGAAAUGCAGAGAAAGCUCUCAUUUUCAUUAUUGCAAUUUACAUACAACUCAGAUGCUCCAAAUUUCCUAGGUGGCUAAUUGAGCUGCUCUUCCCAUUUGUUACUGAUUUCUCAGAAAUGCGAGAUACCAUCGUUCUAGCCAAACCCCAAUUUGAAGAAGCAAGCAGUGGUUUCUCUGUACCGAGUCAUCCAACUUCUGUGGGAAGACCUAGUUGCUUUUCUUAUUUUAAAAUGUCUCCUUCAUGCUGGGUGCGGUGGUGUGCGCCUGUAAUCCCAGCGGCUUGGGAGGCUGAGGCAGGAGGAUCGUGAGUUCAAAGCCAGCCUCAGCAAAUAAGCAAGGCACCGAACAACUCAGUGAGAUCCUGUCUCUAAAUAAAAUACAAAAUGGGGCUGGGGAUGUGGCUCAGUGGUUGAGUGCCCCUGAGUUCAAUCCCCAGUACAAAAAAAAAAUUCCUUUAUUACUUUUGAUUAUAUGAAAAAUUCAAAACUUAGAGUAAGGUGAAAAAGGAAAUAAAGUGAAUACCCACAGAUCCUCCACCUGGGCUUGAUGAGUCUACUCAUUGGGUCUAUGAUCCACAUCUGCCUCUACAGAGACCUUCUACUGGGCACAGCAGUGCAUACAUCUGUAAUCCCAGCAACAUGGGAGGCUGAGGCAGGAGGAUGGAAAGUUUGGAGGCCAGCCUCAGCAAUUUAAAUAAACAUUAAAAAGGACUGAGGAGCAACUGUGUUUCAUGUUCAGUUUUCAUGUUGCUCAGUGGUAGAGUGCCCUCCGUUCAAUCCCCACACACACACACACAAAAAAAAAAAAAGAAAAUGAACAUUUCCUUACAUAGACUAUCAUUACCACACCCAAGACCGUCCACCAUAAUUCAAUAACAUCACCUGAUAUCUAGCCCAAUAUAUAAAUGUCUCCAAUUGUCCUGAGUUUUCCUGGCUGCUUAGUUUUGAAUCAGGAUCCAAUUGAGGGUUAUGCAUUACGUUUUCUAUCGUCUUUUUUUUAAUCAUUAGCUAUUUAUUUUUAGGUGGUGCUGAGGAUUGAACCCAGGGCCUCACAGGCGUGAGGCAAGUGCUUUGACCACUGAGCCCCAGCCCUCUCUUGUCUUCGAGGCACCUGGAGUGGUUUUCUAUUCUCUUCUUUUUUCCUUUAGACCCAAAAGCAAGCCUCCAACUGACCAUGGAUUGAGACCUCUGAAACUGUGGGCCAAAACAAACCUUUCAUUCUUUUAAAGUUGCUUAUCUUGGGUGCAGCGGUGUAAUCCCGUAAUCCCCAGAGGCUCGGAAGGCUGAGGGGUUGGAAAGGUGGUGACGUGAUUUGACCCUGACCUGACUGAGAAGCUCGGCUGUGGUCUUACAAAAAAGGUCCACGUCUGGUCUUUCUCUCUUCUCCUGGUGGUGCUGAGUUUGUUCCUCUGUCUUCUGAGCAAUACCAGGGUGCACAGGGUCACCUUUCCCCAUCACAGGGGUGCUUCAUUAGAUCAUUGGUUAAGGUGGCGGUACCAGGAGCACUUUGUAAUCAGGGACACCAAUUCUUGGGCACCUGGUCCACAGAUGAAAAGACAGUCUUUCUGUUGACAACUUUAGCAUCGUUCAUGGUCCUUGACUGAAACAGACAUCACACUCGCGAGCUGGUGACUUUUUAAACCUGUCAUUCCUUCUACGUUCUUGUUUUAGGGACAAACGAGGCAAGGCACCGAGGACAGCAGGAAACAGUUUUUAUUUGGCUGCAGCCAGGUUCAGAGGGCACAGCCUUUGCUGUAAUCAAUCAAUCCCCUGAACCCCGAGUUCAGGGAGUUUCAGAGUUUUAUACCCAGCAUGUAAGGGGAGGGGCUCAGAAGUUCACAGUCUGCAGAAGUUCAUAUAAAAGCAGCUUUUUCUUUCACUGUUCUGGGCAAGUUAACCCUUCAAGGACAACACCUGAGAAGGGGAGAGCUUCUUCUCCCCUUUCUUUCCUCCCCCUGCCAGCUGUUACCAUGGAGCCCAAUUGGUCACUUCUCUUAUCUUAAAAAUGUAGACAUCUCUGUGAAGCCCAGCUCAAGGCCAGAAGCCUUGUUUGCACAUUUCUACAAAGUACUAUACUGGAUACGUUUGUGAAAAACUAGUAAGGGGGUGCUCAGCACCUGGAGUGCUGGUAUCUUCCUGGCCAGUGGCCAAGUAAAACAGGGUGACACGAAAAUAGGAAGUUUAUCUACAUUGAAUUCUUUUGCAGAGACUCUUUUGCUGACAGUCCUAAAAUCAGCCAUGAUGAAGAGGGCUUUUCAGUGGAGAAAGGGGGUGCCACUACAUUCUUAGUGGGUGCUCUCUGUAAAGGAGAGUAUACUUUUAUGCUAUGCUUUUUUUAAAAAAAAAUUCUUUUAGUUGUAGAUGAACACAAUAUCUUUAUUUUAUUUAGUUUUAUAUGGUGCUAAGGAUCAAACCCAGGGUUUGUGCUAGGCAAGUGCUCUAUCCCUGAGCUACCAUGCCAGCCCUUAUGCUAUAUUUUUUUAGAUAAGUGUCCCCAAAGGCCCCUGUGUCAAAGGCUUGGCCCUCAGCCCAUGGUGCCAUGGGGAGAUGGUGGAACCUUUAUGAUGUGGGGGUGUCCUUGAAGGGGAUGGUUGGAUUCUGGCCCCUUCCUCUCUCUUUCUGCUUCUGGGUGCCAGGAUGUGAGCACUCUAUUUGCCACUGAGCCCCAGAGCAAAGGGACCAGGUAGCCAUGUCCUGGAACCUCUGCCACCCUGAGUCAUGUUUACAAAACCUUUCCUCUUUUUAAGUUGAUGAGCUCAAGCAGGUUAUUAUAGUAAUCGGCAGCUAACACAUUUUUGUCUCUCCCUUUUGAAAACAAAUAUGCAGAAAACGACUAUGAGUAAUAUCCCAAACACCCAGACUUUCACCCCCCGAAAUAUGUGUUAAAAUGUUGGCAUAUUCACCUUGGAAAAUUUUUUAAGAAAGAUGACCAUAAAUGCUCUGAAAUCACCCACCCCUGCCCUUUCCCACCUCGUCCCCUCUGCUGAAGUAACUGGUGUCAUAAAUGUGGCACCUACUUCUAAGCCCAUUUUAAUAUUUUUUAUAAAAAUAUCUUUUUCUAUGAAUAAUACUAGAGAUAGCAUUAUUUUGCUUGAGGUUUUUUUUCCCACUUUAUUUAUUUAUUUUUGCAUUACAAUUCAUUUUUUAAAUUUUUUUAUUUUUUUAGUUUUGAGUGGACACAAUAUCUUUUAUUUUUAUGUGGUGCUAAGAAUCAAACCCAGUGCCUCAUGCAUGCCAGCCAAGCGCACUACCAUUUGAGUCAUAGCCCCAGACCCUGCAUUACAAUUCUUUUUUUUUUUCCUUAGGUGUAGAUGGACACAACACAAUGCCUUUAUUUUUUUAUGUGGUGCUGAAGAUCCAACCCAGGUCUCACCCGUGCUAGGAGAGAGCCCUACCACUGAGCCACAAUCCAAGCCCUGCAUUACAAUUCUUAAUACACCAUUAUACCAUAAUUUAUCAUAUCUCUGAUUAUAUAUAAGGUAUGUUGACACCAAAUUCACAUCUUCAUACAUGUAUUUUGUAUAGUGAUGAGGGUCUCCUUUCACCAUCCAUGCUAUUCCCCUUCUCCCUCCCUUUCCCUCCCACCCCUAUUCCCUAUCUAGAGGUAAUCCUCCUCUCUUGCUCUCCCUCCCUAUCCCAUUUUGAGUCACUCCCCUUAUAUCAGAGAAGACAUUCAGCAUUUGUUUUUCUGGGAUUGGCUAACUUCACUUAGCAUCAUCUUCUCUAAUGCCAUCCAUUUCCCUGCAAAUGCCAUGAUCUUAUUCUUUUUUAGUGCUGAGUAAUAUUCCAUUGUGUAUAAAUGCCACAUUUUUUUUUUGCCCUUUGCAAUGUUGGAGGUCUAGCCCAGUGCCUUGCACGUUAGGCAAGUGCUCUUCCACUGAGCUACAUCCCCACCCCACCUUAGUAUUUUGUAUAGAAACAGAUUCUGCAUAUAUCACUAGGCCUCUUCCUCUUCCUACCCAACACUGUGGAGAUCAAUUCAUAUUAAUUCAUAUGUAGCCAGCUUGUUCCUUUAACUGUGGGAUGAGAUUCCACCCUUACCUCUCUAUGGAGGAACAUUUGAGUUGGGGGGUCUGCAUCUUUCCAGUCUCACUAGAUAAGACCCAAAUGACCACGCUAAUGUACACUUCCACUAGCCAGGUAUAACGGUCCUUGGUCCCCCAUAUCUUCGUCUGCAUAGGGAGAGUAUAAGAUUAUUAACUGUUUGCCCAACUAGUAGGUGAGAGCUGGUGUCUUUUGUUGCUUUAAUUUGUAUGUCCUGACCACACUGGGCACACUUGACAGACCUUAUUUAAUCCUCUCAGAAUUUCGUUCGUGAUCAUUCCCAUUGUGCUGAAGAGGAGACUGAGGGUCAGAGAGGUACAAUGAUUGUCUAAGGUCUUAGAGGCCCCCAAAGCCUUGGGUCUAUACAGCAUUGCUUCUCCAUACUCUUCCCACAUGGCCAGAUGGCUCCUAGAGAGAUGGACAGGUUCUAAAGCCCCUGCAAGGCUUUUAGCAGAGAAGUCAUUUGUUAAUCAAAAAAAAAAAUGCAGCUUUGCAAAUAAUUUUUAGGCCACCAGGACUUCUGGGUCAGGAGACACAGAGGGCAGUCGAAAGUGUUCAUUCUUACCGCCGCUCAGGACGGAGGGGUGGUGGGUUGGUAGUCGCCAAGCUUCUCCUGGCUUGGGGGUUGAUUGUAGCCAGGGUGGGUGGUUUGGAUGGGGACCGGAGCUACCAGAUUGAACGUUCUGGAAACUUUUAGAUCUUAAGGUAAGAGAAAAAGAACCUUUUUUUCUGCUUCUCUCUCUCUCUCUCUCUCUCUCUCUCUCUUUUAUUGAAGUCCUCUGAAAAAAGAAGUGACUUACAGGUGGACCAACCUUCAGGACUCCCGUUUUGGGGAAUUUGGGGGCUCUGGGCUGUUCGAGGUCACCCAAGUAUCUGAUUUGUCCUUAGAACCCAGCGAAGUAUUCAUUACACGACAUCCACUUCACCGACGCUCGUGAAGUGAAUAAAUAAAUUUAAAGAAGUUUGGAAAUGAAAAGCAAAACCCACAAACCCCCACAUUCUGGUUCCUUUGGGGGCUGCUGGUGGAGCUUAACAGAUUCGAGAAAGGUCCUCAGUGAGAAGAAGGGGCCUGGCUUUGGGGAGGCUGUCAGGGAGUCACUCAGGGAGCUGUCAGCCUUCAGCCUUGUCAGCCUCCAGCCUCGUCAGCCUCCAGCCUCGCAGACCAGACUCCCUGAUGGCCUCCCAGAUGCCCCCCCCCCCCCGGGGGGGAGAUACACAAAAGCUUAGAACAGCAUGGGGCCGGCCCCACACAGCCUCCAGUCUCUCCAGGUCCCCUCUGUUGUAAGUCAUCCUGAAAACAAGCCAGGGGACCUCCUGGGGACAUUCCCACCCCCAGAGCCUUCGCCCUGACGUUCCCUUUCAGCCUCAGGCUUUUUGCAUGACCGAGUCUCAGCUCCAACAUCACCUCCAACUCCAGGUGUUGACCACCUCCUCUGUGCCACCACAAAUGCGAUUUUAUUGUUCAUUUAUUUAUUGUGGUGCUGGGUCUUGAACCCAGGGCCUUGUGCAUGAUGGGCAAGUGUUUCUACCACUGAGCUCCCAGCCCCACAAAUUGGAUUUUAAAUAACUCCCUCUUUGGAGUAAGGGAGAUGUUCCCAGGAGGUUAGAAAGACUGAGCAUUUUAAGUUGUUGAUGGACCUUUAUUUAUUUUUAUGUGGUGCUGAGAAUCGAACCCAGUGCCUCACACAUGCCAGGCAAGUGCUCUACCACGGAGCCCCAGCCCCAGCCCAAGGCUGAGCCUUGAAACCCAGGAUGUGGUGGGGCUGAGAUUUGCUCCCCCAGAUCUCUGACCCCAGUUCUCCUGCCCGGGGACCCCUGUGCCCUGAGAGACUUGGUCAGACAAGGCUGUGAAGCAGAGAUCUACACCCACCAAGUGCACAAACAUUGAGCGCCUACUGUGUGUGGGCAGCUUCUAAAGUCCAGGUGAAGGACUAUCCAGGAAGUCAGAGGCACUUGUGGAGUGCAAUUAGCAUCUUGAUGAAAUAGGAAAAAAAGAUCCAAGGGCUAGGGGGCAGGCAGCAAGGAAGGGGGCGGUGCUUACUGAACAAAGGGAUGUUUAAAAUGUCCUUGUGUCUUGGCACAGAGAAGGCCCCCCAAGCAAUAUCUGAAUUGAAUCCAAUUGGAUCCAGUCAAUGCCCUGCUUGGGGAAAAACCAAAAAAUGGUUUCUGGCCUCACGGAAACAUUCCCUGUGAGGCGGAGGAGAAGGGCGAAUCUCCUGUGGGGGUUAGCAAACCAAAGCAACAGAUGCAUUUUAAAUAAGGCAGACCCGCAGCUCUCAGGUUGCAGAAGUUUUGGCUAAAAGAGAAACACCCACUUGUAUGUUGCAGGAUUUGAGCUUAAUCACCUGCUACUAUUGAAGGCUAAUCUCCACUUUCCAGAUAAAUGGAGGGUUGGCUCUGUUACAGAAGGCUAAACCAGCUCUGGGGGCCCCUGAACUCCACAAAGGGGCUGAUCUGGUUGUCUGAGCUCUGGAUCCAAAGUGGUAAAGGAUGCUUUGUCCCAGGAUAGAAACAGUGAAAUCCUGUUCCAGGUUGCCCACCAGGAACCAGCAACUUGACUUGUUUUUUUUUUUUUUUUUUUUUACUUGAAUGUUGUAUUACUCAGCUUACUGUUACUGUAACAAAAUGCCUGAGGUGAUCCGAUUUUUUAAAAAAUGGUUUAUUUGGGUUCACAGUUCUGGAGCAUUCAGUCUUUGACAGGUUGAGCCUGUUGCUUUGGGCACAGUACAUCAUGGCCCGCAUGCAGGUUGGAAGAAAUCUGUUUACAUCAUGGUGGCUGGGAAACAGAGACAGAGGAAGGGGUUGGGGUCCCAAUAUCCCCUAAAAGGACACAUCCCCACCAGUGACCUAACUUUCUUCUACUAGACGCCCCCAACCUCCUAAAGGUUUUGCCACCUCCCCAUAGUGCUAGACGCUUCAAGCUGGUGACUUCAAGCUUAUCACACAUGGUCCAUUGGGAGACCUUCAAGGUCUAGAACUCUAAGUCCCUAACAUGCAAUCACCCUAACAGAGCCGUGGGGUGGGUGCGAGUGUCGGGCCCCACUCUAGAGAGAGGAAAAUGAGACUCAGACCAAAUCAGCUAAAAACCACAAUCACCUAACAGAGGUCUCAGGCUGACUCCUGUGGUUUCUGUUUCUCACAAUCAACUGCAGCUCGAAAAUAUCAGAUGGAAAAUUCCAGAGGCCAACAAUUCCUAAGUUUUAUUUCUUAAAAAAAAAAAAACAAAUUUGUUACUAUUUAUAACAAAGCAUCCAACUAUUUAUGACUAUGAUAACUAUUUAUCACAUAGCUGGCCUACUCCUCUACCUACCCCUCUUUCCCAUUGGGACUUUGAAACACACAUCUAAUGAAAGAUCCUUCCUUAGGUCCUUUCCUCUCUCUUCAUCCUGUUAAGUCAGUCUUUGAAGGAGGAACGGAGAAGAGAGACUAAAAACAAACUACGAGGCUCACAGAGAAUUCAAAGUCACAUUGUCUUGAGUUUUGAACCAUCUUGUGACUGAAAGAAUGGUAUGUCUGGGAGAUAUUUAGAAAGACCUUUCUGGGCAGAGCCGAAUUUAGAUCAUCUUCCAAGUACCUUCUCAGGGUAAUGACUUCAUCUAAGGCACACAAAAAUUACCCAGUUGCAAUUCACCAAGCGACUAUGAAAUAUCUACUCCAGAGCCUCAAAUAAGGAAGGAAUCAAUCCUUGUUUUUAUAAAGGCAUUAAGGGAAUUAGUUGUUUGUAGCAAUUAAGGGCACUUUUGCACUUUGGGCUUUUAUCUUAAAAACACAAUUCUAGCUGGGUGUUGUGGGACACACCUGUAAUCCCAGCCGCUGGGGAGGCUGAGGCAGGAGGAUGGUGGAUUCAGAGCCAGCCUCCACAAAAGCGAGCUUAACCCCUGAGCCACAUCCCCAGCCUUUUUUUUUUUUAUGUUUUCUUUUGAGACAGGGCCUCACUAAGUUGCUGAGGCUGGCCUUGAACCUGAAAUCCUUGUGCCUCAGCCUCCUGAGCCACUGGGAUUAUUACACAGACCUGGGCCACCGCGCCCGUCAGGCCUCUUGUUCAAAUAUAUCAUUGGGUCCAAAGAACUAAGUAAGCUCCUUCAUUUGAGGACGGUUCAAUGUAAGAGUUGUUUUUCAUUCUCCAAUUUAUCUUUUCCCUCUGAAUCUCGAAGUUGAGGUUUUUUCCGUGCAGUUCUCGAGGGAGUUCCGGAAGGGCAUCCUGCAGACGUAUUUGCAUGGACCUCUAUUUCCAUUUUUUUGGUUCACCUUCUGGGAAAUUUUCAAUUUCUGUUUCUCGAACGGGCCCAUCCUCUUUACCUUCCUGUAAAUUCAGUUCGACUUCUCUAGGGUGACUCAAUAUCACUUUCGCAUAGGCCAGGAGGCACCAGCCCGCUCCACCCAGUCUUCUUUGAUCAGAAAGCGAUCACCUGCCAUUCAUCUGAUGACCUCCAACCCAGACGUUUUUCAAUCAGGGGCCACAUUCUGAGUAGUGCCCCAGGAUCUCAUGCCAGGCCGCUUCAUCCUGCCAGAGGCAUGGAUCAUCACCGCUCUGCCCCUUACUCUGUAGCGUCCCCUGUUGACAGCUGGACCUGCCAAGGUGUCACAGUGCCUGGGUUCCAGUCAUUGUUACGCAGCAGCCUAAGGUGACCUCACAAUGCCUGGUCCCCGACCCCACUUCAUCUCUUCAUGUGGACCCUGGAUCCUCUCAUGAGCAGGGCGGACCCAGUCCAGGAAAUUAUUUUGAGAGAGAGGGGAACUGUACUCAUAUAACUUUUAUGGCCACAUAUGGUUAUGAUUAUUCUAUUUUUUUUUUUUUUAGUUAUUGUUCAUUUCUUCCUGUGCUGAUAUAUAAAUGAAACUUUAUCACAGGUAGGGGUAUGGUAGCUUUUCAUUAGGGUGGCCAAAAUAUCUGAUAAGAACAAAUUAGAAGACAAAAGAUGGGUGCACAGGGUCAGAGGACACUCCCAGUAGUCCAGUGGACUAUCAAUGGAUAGCUCAAUGGGGUCAGAACCCCCAGGAACCAAUCAGGGCCUGAAAGUCUCACCCUUGAACCUGGUUUUUGUUUUGGGGGACCGGGAAUUCCACAUCCUGGCCUUUGGGGAAACAUUCCCAUUGGGAAAAAACAUAGUAAAUGUAAGGGUCAGUAGUGUCUGUGAUUUGUGGCAUUCCCUGGGGGAUCUUGGAAUGUGCCCCCUGGAUGGGGGAGGGGCUCUCCUGUAAAUGACACCAUCCUUUACUGAAUGGCUGAAGCCAGAAAUCUAGGGUUGACCCUCCAUUCUUUCCUAUCCUUGCUCCCACAUCUUACUCAUCACCAAUUUGCCCGUUCUACCUUCCAAAACUCAGAACAUAACUCCACGUAGCUACAUCUCUCGCAUCCCCACUGUCCCGUAGCUCCCUUUAUCUCUGCUGAGUCACUAACUGGUCUGCAAUCCCCACUCACGCUCCCCCAGCAGCCCCAGGAGAUCUCCAACGUAAACCUCGGUGUCAGCCCUCACAGGAAGCUCUCCGAUGGCUUCUUAGGGUUCCUACCUACUAUAUAAAAAAUUUAUAUAGUAUUAUAUAUUAUAUAAAUUUUUUUCUUUUUAUCUUCCAUUCCUUUACAUCUCCCUUCAGCUGUAUCUAAUCACUUCUGCAACAUAUGUUGGCAGUUCUUAAUUUCAAUUACUGAAUCGUUCAGGUGGACAAUUUCCAAUCAAUGUCCUCACCUUUUGUGGGUCAUUUAUUUUCUUUUCUUUUUUUUGUUAAGAAUUUUUUUAAAAAUAUUUAUUUAUUUAUUUUUAGUUUUCAGCGGACACAACAUCUUUUUGUAUGUAUGUGGUGCUGAGGAUCGAACCCGGGCCGCACGCAUGCCAGGCGAGCACGCUACUGCUUGAGCCACAUCCCCAGCCCGAGUCAUUUAUUUUCUUCCAGUAUUUUACCUUCUUUUUUUUUUUCUUUUUCAAUAACAGACUUUGUGUUUUUUAGAGUACAUUUAGCUUUGCAGUUAAAGAGAAUCUCUGUUGCACCCAAACAUGACCUGCCCAUUAUCAACAUCCUACACCAAAGUGGCACAUUUUUUUUUUGUUACAAUCAAUGAACCGACAUUAAUGCAUCAUUAUACCCUGAAGUUCGAAAUUGACAUUAUGAUUCGCUCUUGAUGAACUCACUCUAUAGGGUGGCGUGCAUACUGACAAGUACCUAUUAUUAUGUACCAUAUAAAUAGUUUCACUGCCCUAACAAUCUUCUGUGCCCUCCUCGUUCACCCCUCACUCCCGUCUAACCCCUGGUCAUCUUAACUAAUCUCUUUUGUGGGGCACCAGGGAUUCAACCCAAGGGUGCUUCACCACUGAGCCACAUCCCCAGCCCCCCUUUUAUUGUUAUAUUUUGAGACAGGGGAAUCACUAAGUUGGCGUAGGGCCUCACUAAGUUGCUGAGGCCGGCUUUGAACUUGCAAUCUUCCUGCCUCAGCCUCCCGAGCCACUGGGUUACAGGUGUGCCCCACUGUGCCCUGCAAUCACCGAUCUUUUCAUUGUCUCUAUAGUUUUGCCUUUUCUAGAAUAUCAGGCGGUUGAAAUCGUACAACAUAUAGCCUUUUCAUAUUGGCUUCUUUCACUUAGUAAAAGGCAUUUAAGGGGCUGGAAUUGUGGCUCAGUGGUAAAGCGUCUGCCUAGCACAUAUCAGGUAUUGGCUUCCUUUCUGAGCACCAUAUAUAAAUAAAUGAAUAAAAUAAAGGUCCAUCAACAUCUAAAACAAUUUUUUUUACAAAGGCAUUAAGUUUCCUCCAUGUCUUUUUAAUUUUGUCCAGCGAUUCUAUUGUUCUCAGCAGGAGGAAUGGUCUCAAAUAAUCCAGCCUCCUUGUGUGGUUAGACAGCGUUCUGUUACUAUAACAGAAUGCCUGGAAUAGUCGGCUUUAUGGAGAAAAGGUGUAUUUUGGCCCACAGUUUGGGUCCAUGGUCAAUUGGCCCCAUACUGUUAGGCCUGUGGUGGCAGCAAUCCUGGCAGAAGGAGGUGGUGGGGCAGGCCAUACCCUUCAGGACUGGGCUGCAAAGAAGAGAAAGAAAAUGAGACCGAGGGUCCCAUAAUCUCUUUCAAGGGCACAGCCUCCACCCACCCACCCCAAAAAAUCUAAACCAUCCCAUUAGGCUCUACCUCUUAAAAUUUCUCCCAUGUCCUAUUAGCACCAUUCUGGGGGAAAAGCUUUUAACUCAUGGGCUUUUGGGGCGUACAUUUCAAAUCCAAUCUACAGCACUGCUGUGGCUGGAAACCUCCCAUUAUCUUCAGAGGAGAGGAAAACUUCCUGUCCUGCCAAUUGCGGGAUGGGUGAUUUGGAUAGUGCCUAGCCCUCCAGGUUCACACCACACUCCCCUUGGAUCUUGGCACUGCAGUAGGAUGCUGGGCUUUUCCAUGUACCUCAAAUAUGCCAAGCUCCUUCCUACCCCAGGGACUUUGCAUGUGGUCCCCACCCCCUCCAUCUGGAAUGUUCUUUCUUUACCUCAUCCUCUGGGUCUCAGUUUAGAUGUUACUUCCUCCGAGUGACCUUUCCUGACUGGUCCAGUUUGAAGUGUCCUCCAAAGGCUCAUGCAACAAUAAAGGACCAUUAGAGAAUCUUCUUGGUGGGCUGACAUGGCCUGAUUUACAUCUGAGAUCCCUGCAGGUCUUGGGGGAGGGGGGGUGAUGGUCAUAGACACGUUCAUGAUCCUGCAGGGAUAAUGGGUGCUCGAGGGACAGGGACAAGAGAGGGGACGGGAGAGAAAGAGCCACACUGAGUAUGUUCAGGAUUAUGACAAUAUACUGUAGUAAAUGUUAUAUGAAUAUGGUCCCUCUCACAAUGUCUUCCUGUCCUGUACUCACCCUUCUUGUGAUAAUGUGAAGUGACACAGAGUCCACAUGAGGAGAUGAAGUGACCAGGCAUUGUGAUGUAGUAUUAGGCCGUCACAUAACAACGACUCGAACCCAAGCACCUCGGCAGUCAAGCUGGUAACCAGAUGCUACAAAGUGACGAACGGGAGGGUAGCAUAUGCAGUGUGGAAACUCUGGACAGAGGGAUGAUUCAUGCCCUGGGGCAGAAUGAAGUGAGAUGGCAUGAAAUUUUGUGGCACCCCUCGGAAGGACACACAAAUUAAGACUCAUAAACUGUUGACUUCUGGGAUUUUCCAUUCAAUAUUUUUUUUUUAAGCUGCAAUUGUCAGUGGGUAACCAAAACCAUAGAAGGAGAAGUCUCAGGUAAGGAGGAACUAGUGUGCUGAAAUGAGAAUGGGCUGGAAGAGGAAUCAGCCUGGGGUCUCCGUUACACUUUGAAGGUGAUUCUUCUGAGUCACAUUUUCCUCCUCUCUAGAGUGGGGUCCAUACUUGCACCCAACCCGUAGCUUUUUGGGGAUAAUUAUAUGUUAGUGAUUAUAAUUAUAGCCAUCAGCUAUGGUUUGGAUCUUGAAUGUCCCUCAAAGACCUUAAAUGCUAAAGACUUGGUUGCCAGCCUGUGGCACUCUUGGGAGGGGGUGGAACCCUUAAGAGGUGAGGCCUACUGGGAGGAAGUUAGUCAUUGGGGGUGUGUCUCAGUCCCUUCCUCUGUCCUUGCUUCCCAGUCACCAUGGGGUAAACAGGCAUCCUCACCCACAUGCAUCCUCACCCACGCCUACCAUGAUGCGCUGAGUUGCCACAGGGCCAAAUAACCAUGGACUACAGUCUCCGAAACUGUAAGCGAAAGUAAAUCUUUCCUCUUUUAAUUUGAUUACCUCAGGCGUUUUGUUACAGUAAUGGGAAGCUGACUCAUACACUGACCUUGCCUUCUAAAGGAGGCACAGCCCUCAUCUGAUGCCUUUGAGACCUGUGCUCUUCUCUACAUCAUAUGCAAUAUGAUGCACAAGAAGGUUUGGAUUUGGAGAGCAUCUCCGAUUUCAGAUUUGCAUAUUAGGAUGUUCCGCUGGUAAAGUCUAUGCAAAUAUCAGGGAAAAACAAAACAACAACUCUUAACCAUAAUAUUACCCUCACAGCUCAUUUGGAAGAAAUAUUUAGGAAAAAUAAACAUAAUCUCUGCCCCCAAAUGGUCCACAAUCUGGUUAAAAAGACAAGACAUCCUUCUGCAUGGAGCUGGAUUAAAAAAGACUUCAUCUGUCUGGUAUAGUGCUGCCCACUUGUAACGGGCAGUCUCCAGAGUCUCAGGAGACUGAGGCAGGAGGAUCGCAAGUUCAAGGCCAGCCUCAGCAACUUAGCGGAGACUGUCUCAAAAGUUUAAAAAUUUAAAAAGAGGACUCUGGGGGUAAAGCAUCCCCUGGGUUCAAUCCCCAGCGCCCAAACAAAAGCAAAAAUCCCAAAACAAAACCAUAUCUAGGUGCUGGGGUUGUGGCUCAGUGGUAGAGCGCUCGCCUAGCAUGCAUGAGGCACUGGGUUCAAUCCUCAGCACCACAUAAAUGUAAAAUAAAGAUAUUGGGUCCACCUAAAAAUUAAAAAAAAACAAAAAAAACACACACACACAUCUAAGGAAACCAAUUCAAGACAAAAACACUCAAACUGAGCCGUUGGUUGAGCUCAGCCUUGAACCAUCAGGUGAUGGGGUUGCCGUGUCCCUCUGCAGCUGGGUCCUAUGGUGGUGGUCCCAUGUGCACCCUCCCCCCCCCCCCCCCCCCCCCCAACAGGCCCUGCAGUUCUGGGGAUGGAACCUGUUAGGUGCAGGACAGGCUGAGUAAGCUGUCUGCAGGGCAUGCCAAACAAAGUUAGCUGCAGGAUGACCUGCCCUCUCAAACCCUCUGUCUGGUUCUUUAUCAACUAUUUGCUUCAAGCCCAAAUGCCCAAGCCCCCGCUCAAGGCCGAACACGUAACCCCCCUUGCCCCCCACCCACCCAGCUUGGUUUUCCAUUUUUUAAAGACACUUUAAAUUCCGUAGUGAUCUGGAAUCCUCCGAACACUUGGAAAGAUAUCAUCGAGGUAAGCGUUGACUUAAAAGUAUCCAGGGCCUGUUGGGAUUUGGCCAGUUUAUCCCUAACAGCUCUUCCCUGGUCUGGGAUCCUACCUAGGACUCCCCCCCUCCUCCGCCACUGCCUCCAACCGGACAAUUCCCCUCUGUUUCCCACCACCAUCUCGGCAGUUCGGAGGGGCUCUGGGGGGGCAAUAGCAGGAAGACCCCCCAAACCGUAGCUAUUCACACGUUUGUGAAGGAGGUGACUGUCGUAGGGCCUGCUCAGUGAGCUGGAUCUAGAUGGGACUCAGAUGAAUCAUCACGGGGGGGGGGACACUUCUUAUAGAAAGCUCAGGUGCCUGGCCUCUCACCUGGGCCUCCCCUGCUGACACGACUCCCUCUGGGUAGCCUCACCCUGGUCAGCAAGGGGCCUCUUGUGCAUCCCUUGCACCUGGAGGGGGUGGGUAGCAGGGACCUGGGGGUGUCUGCUGUCUGCCCAGCUGGGACCCCUCCGCCUGGUUCCAAACUCUGUGGGAAAGCCCAGGGGGGGGACACCCACCAACCAUGUUAAAAUAAAACUCGGAAUUGAAAAGACCCUUUCUUUCUCUCUCUUUCGGUCUGAGUCACCAUAUAAAGCUCCCUCCUGGUGGACACAUAUAAUAUACCAGAGGCCAGUCCAGGGUGACCUGUCCUUUUGGCACCAGUGUGGAGGACCGUCCACCCCACUCUCAGAUCUGCGGUUGGCAAAGGGAGGGCCUCCCUCCCCCAGCAGAUCCCUACAAAAGGCCUGACGUUCCCUGGGGGUCCCCCAGAAAAUACUGGGGGGGGGUGGUCACUGGGAGAUGGCCGCCUUGGGAUCCUGGUUCACACACGGGCUCUACUUUCCUCUUGCAAGUGAGCCCUGAGCCUCGGUUCUGUCCUCUGUCAAAUGGG
rnacentral:lncRNA from 1 species